AAUCCCUUGGCUCAACUUAUUAUUACUCUUACUAUUUUCACAGGAACUCUUAUCACCACAAUGCUAGGCUCACACUGAUUUCUCAUCUGAACAGGCCUGGAAAUAAACAUACUAGUCCUUAUCCCAAACUUAACUUAAAAAAUAAAUCCCUGCUCUGCAAAAGCAGCCACUAAAUAUUUCCUUACACAAGUAACUGCAUCCAUAAUUCUCAUGAUAGGUAUCCUUUCCAAUAGCCUGUCCUCCAGACAAGGAACAAUAAUAAACACUAUUAAUCAAUGUUCAUCCUUAAUAAUAAUAGUAGCCCUAAUGAUAAAACUAGGAAUAGCCCCCCUUUCACUUCUGAGUCCCAGAGGUAACCCAAGGAAUCUCUUUAACAUCUGGUAUACUUUUUCUCACAUGACAAAAACUAGCCCCUAUCUCGAUCAUGUUUCAAAUUUUCCUAUCAACACGAACAUCCUCCUGUUGAUCACAAUCCUAUCCAUUAUAGUGGGUGGUUGAGGAGGACUUAACCAAACACAAUUGUGUAAAAUCCUAGCCUACUCCUCAAUCACUCACACAGACUGAAUAAUUAGCAGUACUAAUCUAUAACCCAAACAUUACCAUUCUAAACUUUAUUAUUUACCUCAUCUUAACAACAACUGCAUUUCUAGCACUCAACCUGAGUAUAAGCACCACAACCCUGUCACUGUCUCAUGCCUGAAACAAAUUAGCAUGGUUGACACCUAUAAUUCCACUAAUUCUAUUAUCCCUAGGAGGUUUACCCCCAUUAACAGGGUUCCUGCCUAAAUGAAUCAUCAUCCAAGAAUUUACAAAAAACAAUAGCCUUAUUACACCAACCAUUAUAGCUAUCAUAACCCUACUCAACCUGUACUUUCAUAUAAGCCUAAUUUAUUCCAUCUCAGUGACACUAUUCCCUGCAUCUAAUAAUAUGAAAAUAAAAUGACAAUUCGAAAACACAAAACCCACACUACUCUUCCCCCGACUUCUCAUCUCUUCUACCCUCCUCUUACCCAUCUCUCCAUUAAUACUAACCAUAACUUAG
rnacentral:lncRNA from 1 species